CCUACGGGUGGCAGCAGUGAGGAAUAUUGGUCAAUGGGCGUAAGCCUGAACCAGCCAAGUCGCGUGAGGGAUGAAGGUUCUAUGGAUCGUAAACCUCUUUUAUAAGGGAAUAAAGUGUGGGACGUGUCCUAUUUUGUAUGUACCUUAUGAAUAAGGAUCGGCUAACUCCGUGCCAGCAGCCGCGGUAAUACGGAGGAUCCGAGCGUUAUCCGGAUUUAUUGGGUUUAAAGGGUGCGUAGGCGGAAUAUCAAGUCAGCGGUAGAAAUUCGGGGCUCAACCCCGUCGUGCCGUUGAAACUGAUGUUCUUGAGUGGGCGAGAAGUAUGCGGAAUGCGUGGUGUAGCGGUGAAAUGCGUAGAUAUCACGCAGAACUCCGAUUGCGAAGGCAGCAUACCGGCGCCCAACUGACGCUGAAGCACGAAAGCGUGGGUAUCGAACAGGAUUAGAUACCCCAGUAGUC
rnacentral:rRNA from 1 species